rnacentral:rRNA from 1 species
ACGCUGGCGGCGUGCCUAACACAUGCAAGUCGAACGGAGAUUACAGACGGAAGUUUUCGGAUGGAAGACUGUAAUUCUUAGUGGCGGACGGGUGAGUAACGCGUGGGCAACCUGCCCUAUACAGGGGGAUAGCAGCUGGAAACGGCUGGUAAGACCGCAUAAGUCGGCGAGACCGCAUGGUUUUGCCGGGAAAUGAGCAAUCAGGUAUAGGAUGGGCCCGCGUCCGAUUAGCCAGUUGGCAGGGUAAAAGCCUACCAAAGCAACGAUCGGUAGCCGGACUGAGAGGUCGGACGGCCACAUUGGGACUGAGACACGGCCCAAACUCCUACGGGAGGCAGCAGUGGGGGAUAUUGCACAAUGGAGGAAACUCUGAUGCAGCGACGCCGCGUGAGUGAAGAAGUAUUUCGGUAUGUAAAGCUCUAUCAGCAGGGAAGAUGAUGACGGUACCUGACUAAGAAGCCCCGGCUAACUACGUGCCAGCAGCCGCGGUAAUACGUAGGGGGCAAGCGUUAUCCGGAUUUACUGGGUGUAAAGGGAGCGCAGGCGGUUUGGCAAGUUGAGAGUGGAAGCAGGGGGCUCAACCCCCUGACUGCUCCCAAAACUGUUAAACUUGAGUAUGGGAGAGGCAGGCGGAAUUCCUAGUGUAGCGGUGAAAUGCUUAGAUAUUAGGAAGAACACCGGUGGCGAAGGCGGCCUGCUGGACCAAAACUGACGCUGAGGCUCGAAAGCGUGGGUAGCAAACAGGAUUAGAUACCCUGGUAGUCCACGCUGUAAACGAUGAAUACUAGGUGCUGGGAGGCAUAAGCCUUUCGGUGCCGUCGCAAACGCAUUAAGUAUUCCACCUGGGGAGUACGUUCGCAAGAAUGAAACUCAAAGGAAUUGACGGGGACCCGCACAAGCGGUGGAGCAUGUGGUUGAA